CAUUUAAAAAAUGUUAUACUAAAAUUGGAACAAUACAAAGAAGAUUAGCAUGGCCCCUGUGCAAAAACAAAACAACCCGUGUCUUCUAAUUCU
rnacentral:snRNA from 1 species